ensembl:lncRNA LINC01102 long intergenic non-protein coding RNA 1102
AGAAAGGCAAAGAGUGGAAGACUUUGCUGCCGCCUGGGGCUCUUCCCCAGCUCCUGAGUUCCUGCUCUGGCAGCAAUUCAGCUGAAACAAGAAGAGUAUUGGCGAGUCAGCGGAUGGGAGCCUCUCUGUCACUGCCCCAUGUGAUAGCAGCGUGGGCACUGGCCAAAUUCUUCUCCACAGCUCCUUUAUUCUCUGAAUCCCCACUGGCCAGGAGUCAGAGAACCAAGCAGGGACAAGAACACUGUAGGAGAAUCUGGCCCCAUUUAAUCCGCAGUACCCUGCCAGAAAAAGAAGGAGAGGCUGAUCCCCAGUAAGAGGGAACAGAGUGGCACCCACAAAUACGGAAUGAAGACAUUUGGAGAAGAAGCGUUUACUGAAAGGAGAUUCCUGGGCUGGAGGAAAACCAUGAUCUACAGUUCAUGUUGACAGAUAUUGUAUUUUUGGUCCUAGAUCUGACUUUUGAAAUGACUUAUCACAAAUUCAAAUUUAGCAAUCAUGAGUGAAGUACCCACGAUGUGCUAAGCAUCUACCUCUGCAGAUAGAAGAACACUUACUGUUCCUGAGCAUGGGAGGGAAUAGAAGUUCCUGGGUCCUGGCCUCACCUCAUCAGGCACUGCCAAAUUUGACACCUCCUUCCUGUUCACGGCAGUCCUUUGCGAUAGGGUAUUAGAUGCCACCAAGUAGCUGCAUAACUCACCCAUUUGGUCAGAGCCUGGGUCUAAGCCAGGUCUGACAGACUCCAAAGCAAGCCCUGUUUACAGCAUGACUGGGAUCCAGUGGACGAGGGAACUGAGCUGUCAAAACUAAGUGACUUGAUUGAGGCCAUGCAGCUGGCGAGGGGAGGACCAGGAUCUGAACCCAACUGGGUCUCCCAAGCCUGGGCCACUGAACCAUUUCACCUCUUGGAAAAACUUAAUGGUCAGAGUGGCCCACCCAGUCCAUGGACAGCAUGGAGGAUAAACUGCUUCCCUAGAAAUCCUCUCCAGCAUUCUUGCCACCACGACUUUGGGACACAUUGACCAUGAGGAGGAGCUGGUCAAUGAUGGACAGGAGUCCAGAUUAGCAGAGAUGUGGUAAUAAGGACACCGAUGCCUAAAUACUUGAAAUAUCCAAUAGGAAGCAUUCCACCUUUGUGCAAAUGCGAACCACAUCUCACCAAGUUCAGGCCAAGGCUGCCACCGGUGACGUUUUGGAAAAGAAAAAAAAAAGCGGGGGGAGAGGAGAGAAACAGAGAAGCAAGGAAUGCAGAAGAGAGCAGAGGCCACAAAAACAGCAGCAACGUGUCCUGUGUAUUCUGUUUCCUUGUAAAACUAUGAAGCAUGUUAAGGAGAUACUUCAUUUUUUGAGGAUUCAUACUCUUGUUUAUAUUAUAAUAAAAACAACCCAUGUUCUUUCUAAAAAUUUAGGCAAUGCCUUCGUGCACAUAAAAGUAAAACAAAAUCACCUGUAAUCCUACCACACGCAGAUCAGCACUUGCUAAUCUUUUCACAGGGAUCCUAAGAAUAUCCUAUUCUCUAUAGAAUAUAGUUGAUUUAUGUUACCUAAUAACUAACUGUUAACCAUUUUAAAAUUCUUCAGUUUUACAUUAUGCUAGAAAAAAGGAGCCGUCACUCUACGUGACAUUUCUGUAUAUUGGUUUAUUCAUUCAAUAAACAUUUUUUAAGUACCUAC